rnacentral:rRNA from 1 species
GGGUCAGGAGGUUGGUCGUGCCACCGGUACGUACUGGUCUCACUGAUUCCUCCUUCCUGAAGAACCGUAAUGCCAUUAAUUUGGUGUUGCGGGGAAACAGGACUGUUACUUUGAAAAAAUUAGACUGUUUAACGCAAGCUAACGCUUGAAUACAUUAGCAUGGAAUAAUGAAAUAGGACGAUCGAUCCUAUUUUGUUGGUUUCUAGGAUUGACGUA